CCCUACUUUCUUUUUAUAGACUCCCAGAAUAAAAGAAAAUUUAGCACCUACCAUGUGCCAAGCACUCACUUAUAGAUUAUCAUUACAUUAAAUAAUGCAUAUGAUGUGGUACAGCCUAUGACAUAUAGUAGGUGCUCAAUAAACGCUAGCUUUUAUUAUUGUUAUUGGUAUAUUAUUAUCAUGCCCAUUUUGGAGAUGAAAAGACUGAGGGUCAAAUAACUCCAUUACUCCCUGUUCCUAAAUUGCAAACUAGACCUCCACCCAUGCUUCCUGAGCCCUCACUUUCCACACAGUGACACGUGUGGCUUCUGCUCCUGACAGGUAGCUCAGUAAUUUCUCUGACCUGCUGGCCUUCCCGCCUCCUUCAGGGGGCUGGGCAGAACCAGGAGAUGCCUUACCCGGAUAAGGUUUUUCUCCACGUUGUCAUGGACCAAAUCAAUCCCAAUCCUCUUCUCUCGAUGGUACAGACACUCCAAGGCCACCUGUGGGAAGCAGCAGAAAGAACGUAUUCUUCCUGUAGCUGUAUGUAGACCCUGAGCAGAAGGGACUCACAUCCACCCUUGCCACAAUCUGUUCCUUUCUCCCGGAAACCUGGGUGCUUCAUGUGACCUCACUACUGGGCAUUGGAUGGGCUUCUGCCUCCCCUUCUCCCCGGAUGAGAGCUGUGGGUUGUCAUAUGACCAAGGCAUCCGGAGAUGCAAGGCCCAUGUAGAGAAAACAGGAUAAAGUAGCAUCCCAAGAACCAAUUUUGAUUCCCAUAAUUGCAUCAGCAGCCCCAAGCCUUCCCACAAUACAAUAAUACAUAGAAUAAAACUUCAUAAUAAUUUCAGAUAAGACAGUGUUGGCGGCCAUCUUCCAUGUAGCUUCUCUUCUGACUUCAAUCGGGGCUUGACCACUUCCUAUUGUGUGCAUUUGGGCAAACUGCUUAACCUCUCUGCUGGUUUCCUCCUCUGCAGAUGGGUGCCAUAUUGGUGCCUAUCUCACAGGUUCAUUGUGCAGGUGAAGUCGGCUUGACAAGUGUAAAUCACUGAGAACACUGCCCCUAAAUAUUACCUGUGAAUAUGCAUGAAAACCCCUCUUUGCAGAUCUCCCAGUGGAGGGACAGUUUGGGGAAGUGGUCAGGACAACCCUGCCACCUAGCCCUGGGCCUUACAACUCUCAUGCAGACCUGGGCAGAGCAGAAGAGAGGACAGGACAAGGGGCUUUUCAGGGGCGCUCUAUGAUGGGAAGCUGACAAACAGCAGUGAUUAGCAAACCAGCCCGUGAUGUCACAAAGGGCCCAGGAGCAGAAGGAAGCAGGAUGUCAAGGUCUGGAUGUCAGGAUGCAAAUGUAUGUGAGAACUCAGAAAUGGGAGGGGGUCACUGACCCGUGCCACAAGGAUUUCCGGAGCCCCUUCUGUGAGACAUGCUCUGCUGAGGUGCUGGGGAUAGCACAACGAACCAGGCUGAGAGUCCCUGCUCUCACACAGCCUGUGUUCUACUAGGGGAGAGAACACCCAUAAGAAACUCAGUCAGGCUGGGCACAGCGCCUCCUUCAUGCCUUUAAUCUCAACACUUUGGGAAGCCAAGGUGGGAGGAUUACUUAAGCUCAGCCUGGGCAGCAUAGUGAGACCCCAUCUCUACAAAAAAUUUUAAAUUAGCCAGCCAUGGUGGUGCAUGCCUAUAGUCCCAGCUCCUCAGGAGGCUGAGGUCGGAGGAUCUCUUAACUCCAGGAGGUCAACUAAUGAGCCAAAAUCAUGCCACUGCACUCCAGCCUGAGCAACAGACAAAGACCCUGUCUCAAACAACAUCAACAAACCAGGAACUCAAUCAUUUCCAACUGUGUGAAGGGCCAAGAGGAAAAUAUUCAGGGUGAGGGUCCAUGAGAGUGCUGGCUAAUAGGCUAAACAUGGAGACACACGACGGACCUUCUAGAAAAGACAUUCCCUGAUAAAAAGCAAUGGUGCCCAUUGAUGCUUCUGCUCUUUGUUCUACCCUUGCCUUCCUGCCUCGAAUGAGAAUAUCAAGAGGCCCCUGGCAUGCAGGAACUUGCAGUAUAAAAUGCAAAACCUCCUUGGGAACAGGAGAACACAAACCACAUGCUGUGGGUGGCAGAACAGAGAGAGGAGCCUGGGUCCCUUCUGGCACCAAGUUGAGGCUGGAGCCGCCUGAUCUGUCUCCCUCUGGAAUUUUCCUCAUGACAGAAAAAUAAAUUCCUGUUUGGCUAAACCAC
rnacentral:lncRNA from 1 species